AUGCACAUGUUGGGACGGAGUUUACGGGUGUUCGCCGUCAGGCCUCUGGCACGUACACGGCACACGCCAAAGACGAACGAGAUGGUGGUGCACGUACUGGAUAGCAAGAGCAGCAGCAACAUGCAACAAGCCAAGGAUCAGCGACUGGACAUGCCCUGGUCGCCGCCCGCCCAUGGCUGGACCAAAUUAAAUAUAGAUGGGAGCUACAUCAACGAAACAAGGGCGGCUGGUGGUGGAAUGGUGCUACGUGAUGACGCUGGUUCUAUUAUCUUUACUGCAUGCAGGCAGAUCACCACAUGUGAUGAUGGACUAGAGGCAGAGCUCAUGGCGUGCAGAGAAGGCCUUGAUCUUGCUCUUCAUCGCACCGGAUUACCCAUUG
rnacentral:rRNA from 1 species